rnacentral:rRNA from 1 species
CCAUUGUCGAAAAUUGCCAAGCAGAGCGACCCGCGGACAUGUUGAAAUAAAUCGUCGGGGGCACGGCGUCGAACGUGGCACGGCGCCCUCGACUGCCGGCCGAGCCCGCACCUUACGGCCUGCUCCAGGAGCGGCAACGGGGAUGCGGGGCAAGGCUUGGCACAAGAACGAACCCCGGCGCGGAUCGCGCCAAGAACAUAGCGUGCGUUGCCUUGCCGCCGGAUGCCUGGCGAGCGAGGUGGCGACCUGUCGUAUUUGAACGACUCUCGGCAACGGAUAUCUCGGCUAUCGCAUCGAUGAAGAACGUAGCGAAAUGCGAUACUUGGUGUGAAUUGCAGAAUCCCGUGAACCAUCGAGUCUUUGAACGCAAGUUGCGCCCGAAGCCUCUAGGCUGGGGGCACGUCUGCCUGGGCGUCACGCAUAGCGUCGCCCCCGACCUAGCCGCCGCGUCUCUGCAUGCUAGGUUGGGGCGGAGAGUGGCCUCCCGUGCGACGUUGUGCGGUUGGCCUAAAAUCGGAGCUCGGCGACUGCGCCACGACGUCCGGUGGUCGACAAGGCGAUGGCCAAGGUUGCAUGGCGUGGCGCUCGGCAUGUCGCCCGUGAAGCUCGCACGAACCCGCCGUGCCGUCCGCACGG